AUGGUCUCCAUCUCCUGACCUCGUGAUCCACCUGCCUCGGCCUCCCAAAGUGCUGGGAUUACAGGCGUGAGCCACCGUGCCCGGCCAGCCCUGACUAAAUUUCUAAGGGCUCCUAGUCCUGAUGCCUAAUUUUUGGAGUGGACAUGGCUCCUGUUCCCUGACACCUAGUUUUAAAGGGCCCCUGCUGUUGCUGCCGCUGCCGCCGCUCCUAGCUGCCCAGUCUGGCGGGCUCAGUCCCGCAUUGCCACGCAUGGGAGACCGCCUCGCGGAAGCGCUGGAUGUGGCUUCGCUGAUGCACGUUGGACCGGGCCCUGGACUGGGCUAGGGGAAGGGCAGGAGGGCGGAAUUGGGCCCGAGGGCCGGGCCUGGCCGACCCCCGACUGCUCUGCCUCCAUGGAGGCUGGCGGCCCAGCAGAGCCUCCCGGUGGCCCUGGAGUGCGGGUUGUACUGUCCGAGAUCACCUGCAACUGGACGAGCUGUGCAUGGGGCGUGGCCGAGGCCGUGGUUUGGUUGCAAUUGGCCAGCGGGACCUAAGUGUUGUCUCUGAAGAGCAUGGGCAUUAGUCUGGAGGGUCCUGGGAGAGUGAUCUCUGCCCCAUCAAAUGGCAUUUAGGUCUAGGAGGCAGGUGUGGGCGGGGCGUUAGGGCGAGGCGCAGACAUACCCCGAAGUGGUUGGAUUGUAGACCGCAAGGGGCUGGAUCGAAUCCCCAAAAGACACUGGAAGGCUGUGUGGCUGAGGAGGGUCCAGCAGGUCCAGUGUUUCGUGGGCUUUACAGGAAGGAGCUCCACUUUCUCAAGAGUGUGCAGAUGCGAUCUAGGUGUGUCCACCCGAUGGCAGUUGUGGGGCCGGGCGGAUGCUGCCCCAGUACAAAGCUGAUUUGGACCUAGGGCCUCUGGACUUCCCUGAUUCUCUGCCUGCAUCUCCAGCAAACUCCUGUCCUGUUGGCUGCCUUCAUCCACUCUCUCACCUCUCUGCCUUCAGAGUAAAAUUGCAAGAUCUGUGGUGCUUACUGGGA